GACGAAAAAUGAAUACCAAGUCUCAAGAGUGAACACGUAAUUCAUUACGAAGUUUAAUUCAUUGAGCAUCAAACUUUUAAAUUGAAGAGUUUGAUCAUGGCUCAGAUUGAACGCUGGCGGCAGGCCUAACACAUGCAAGUCGAACGGUAACAGGAAGCAGCUUGCUGCUUUGCUGACGAGUGGCGGACGGGUGAGUAAUGUCUGGGAAACUGCCUGAUGGAGGGGGAUAACUACUGGAAACGGUGGCUAAUACCGCAUAACGUCGCAAGACCAAAGAGGGGGACCUUCGGGCCUCUUGCCAUCAGAUGUGCCCAGAUGGGAUUAGCUUGUUGGUGAGGUAACGGCUCACCAAGGCGACGAUCCCUAGCUGGUCUGAGAGGAUGACCAGCCACACUGGAACUGAGACACGGUCCAGACUCCUACGGGAGGCAGCAGUGGGGAAUAUUGCACAAUGGGCGCAAGCCUGAUGCAGCCAUGCCGCGUGUAUGAAGAAGGCCUUCGGGUUGUAAAGUACUUUCAGCGGGGAGGAAGGUGUUGUGGUUAAUAACCGCAGCAAUUGACGUUACCCGCAGAAGAAGCACCGGCUAACUCCGUGCCAGCAGCCGCGGUAAUACGGAGGGUGCAAGCGUUAAUCGGAAUUACUGGGCGUAAAGCGCACGCAGGCGGUCUGUCAAGUCGGAUGUGAAAUCCCCGGGCUCAACCUGGGAACUGCAUUCGAAACUGGCAGGCUUGAGUCUUGUAGAGGGGGGNNNNNNNNNNNNNNNNNNNNGAAAUGCGUAGAGAUCUGGAGGAAUACCGGUGGCGAAGGCGGCCCCCUGGACAAAGACUGACGCUCAGGUGCGAAAGCGUGGGGAGCAAACAGGAUUAGAUACCCUGGUAGUCCACGCCGUAAACGAUGUCUACUUGGAGGUUGUGCCCUUGAGGCGUGGCUUCCGGAGCUAACGCGUUAAGUAGACCGCCUGGGGAGUACGGCCGCAAGGUUAAAACUCAAAUGAAUUGACGGGGGCCCGCACAAGCGGUGGAGCAUGUGGUUUAAUUCGAUGCAACGCGAAGAACCUUACCUGGUCUUGACAUCCACGGAAGUUUUCAGAGAUGAGAAUGUGCCUUCGGGAACCGUGAGACAGGUGCUGCAUGGCUGUCGUCAGCUCGUGUUGUGAAAUGUUGGGUUAAGUCCCGCAACGAGCGCAACCCUUAUCCUUUGUUGCCAGCGGUCCGGCCGGGAACUCAAAGGAGACUGCCAGUGAUAAACUGGAGGAAGGUGGGGAUGACGUCAAGUCAUCAUGGCCCUUACGACCAGGGCUACACACGUGCUACAAUGGCGCAUACAAAGAGAAGCGACCUCGCGAGAGCAAGCGGACCUCAUAAAGUGCGUCGUAGUCCGGAUUGGAGUCUGCAACUCGACUCCAUGAAGUCGGAAUCGCUAGUAAUCGUGGAUCAGAAUGCCACGGUGAAUACGUUCCCGGGCCUUGUACACACCGCCCGUCACACCAUGGGAGUGGGUUGCAAAAGAAGUAGGUAGCUUAACCUUCGGGAGGGCGCUUACCACUUUGUGAUUCAUGACUGGGGUGAAGUCGUAACAAGGUAACCGUAGGGGAACCUGCGGUUGGAUCACCUCCUUACCUUAAAGAAGCGUACUUUGCAGUGCUCACACAGAUUGUCUGAUGAAAA
rnacentral:rRNA from 1 species